UGACUUUCGCAGGUGCCUGUGAAGAAACUGCUGCAGCUCAAACCAGCAGCGAUGCAUCAACUUCUUCUGCUUCUUCGGAGCACGCCGAGAACGAGCUGUCACGAGCAAAACGAGGCAGUUACAGAAUGAUGAGACUUGGCAGAGGUUUGCACAUGCUCAGACUGGGGAAAAGGGGAGGGCCCGUCGAGCCUGAGAGCGAGGAAAACCUGGAAACCCUUUUGAACUUAUUGCAAGGUUACUACAGUGAUGUACCGGAGUAUCCAUCUGAAUUCGACGACACUGAUUUGGCCUACCCAUACGAAGAAUACGACGCCCCCGCCCACCCGAGAUACCGGAGAUCUACACCUCCUACAGACGGCGUGGUGGCACCAGACGUGCUCCAGAAGGGAAGUUCUGAAUUCGAAGACUUUGGUGAUUCCCAGUUGGACGAAAGUGAUGAAGGUUACUAUGGUUACGACCCUGAAAACUAUUUGUAUGGCGAUUUUGAAGAUUACUUGGAACCAGAAGAAGGAGGACUUGGAGAAGAGAAAAGAAGUCUGUCUAUGCUGCGAUUGGGAAAACGAGGACUGUCUAUGCUGAGACUGGGAAAGAGAGAGGGGGAAGAAGGGGAUGAAAUGGACAAGAAACAAGACGAAAGCUUGAACGACGCUUUCGAAAAUGAUGAUAUCAAGAGAACCCUCUCAAUGCUUCGUCUCGGCAAACGACCAAUGAGCAUGCUUAGAUUAGGAAAACGGCCAAUGAGCAUGCUGCGUCUUGGAAAGCGACCAAUGAGUAUGUUGCGUCUCGGAAAGCGACCAAUGAGUAUGCUCCGACUUGGAAAGCGACCAAUGAGCAUGCUUCGGCUCGGAAAACGACCAAUGAGCAUGCUGAGACUGGGAAAGCGGCCAAUGAGCAUGUUGCGCCUUGGAAAACGACCAAUGAGCAUGCUGCGUUUGGGGAAACGACCAAUGAGCAUGCUCCGUCUGGGAAAGCGGCCAAUGAGUAUGUUGCGCCUAGGCAAACGUGAUGACGAUGAAAAGGAAAAGAAAUCUUUGAACAUGUUACGGCUCGGCAAACGGUCGACACAGUAAUUUCUUAGCAAGUAAUAAAGUAUAAUACAAGAU
rnacentral:sRNA from 1 species